rnacentral:misc_RNA from 1 species
GCCAUGCUGCGUUGAUGAAGUCCGCCUUGAGGCCUGGUUAUGAGUUUGAUCAGCUUUUGGUUCUUGACGUUGAGGGAAGCAAUUUAAUACUCUCUGCAAAACAUUCUCUUGUGACCUCAGCUCAGCAACUUCCGCUGGAUGUCAAUCAAGUCCAUCUUAACUCUGUGCUGCAUGGGUAUGUUUGUAAUAUAAUUGAAAGUGGCAUCUUCAUUCGCUACCUUGGGCGCUUGACUGGGUUUUCUCCAAGAAACAAGGCUACUGAUGACAGAAGAUCCAGUUUGUCUGAAGUUUACCAGAUUGGCCAAUCUGUUCGCACUAACAUUAUUGAUGUCAGCAGUGAAACAAGUCGAAUUACAGUUUCUUUG